UACGAGGGGGGCGAGCGUUGUUCGGAAUUACUGGGCGUAAAGCGUGCGUAGGUGGUUUGUUAAGUCUGAUGUGAAAGCCCUGGGCUCAACCUGGGAAUUGCAUUGGAUACUGGCAGGCUAGAGUGCGGUAGAGGAUGGCGGAAUUCCCGGUGUAGCAGUGAAAUGCGUAGAUAUCUGGAGGAACACCGGUGGCGAAGGCGGCAUCCUGGACCGGCAUUGACGCUGAGGCGCGAAAGCCAGGGGAGCAAACGGG
rnacentral:rRNA from 1 species